rnacentral:rRNA from 1 species
UACGUAGGGACCUAGCGUUGUCCGGAAUCAUUGGGCGUAAAGCGCGCGUAGGCGACCCGGUAAGUCCGUUGUAAAAGUCGAAGGCUCAACCUUCGAAAGCCGAUGGAUACUGCCGGGCUAGAGUCCGGAAGAGGCGAGUAGAAUUCCUGGUGUAGCGGUGGAAUGCGCAGAUAUCAGGAGGAAUACCCAUAGCGAAGGCAGCUCGCUGGGACGGUACUGACGCUGAGGCGCGAAAGCGUGGGGAGCGAACAGG